GAUGAAGACGUAGCGAAAUGCGAUAAGUAAUGUGAAUUGCAGAAUUCAGUGAAUCAUCGAAUCUUUGAACGCACAUUGCGCCCACUAGUAUUCUGGUGGGCAUGCCUGUUCGAGCGUCAUUUCAACCCUCAAGCCUGGCUUGGUGUUGGGGCUCUGCGCAUGCAGUCCCUUUAAUCCAGUGGCGGACACGCUAGGUCUCCGAGCGCAGUAGUUUCUUCUCGCUUCGGGCGUCCGGCGUGGGCUUGCCUCGCACCCACUAUUUACAAGGUUGACCUCGGAUCAGGUAGGAAUACCCGCUGAACUUAAGCAUAUCAAUAAGCGGAGGA
rnacentral:misc_RNA from 1 species